AUGAUGAUGAUUUCGAGGAUGAGGUGUUGAAAAAGAAGAAAAACAAGGUUACUGGUGUCAGCCCUUCCCACCUCCACACAUUACCUUGAAUGAUGUCCAGACUGAAGUUGUGAGACAGGUUGAGUUUGACCAUUUAUUGCAUUUACAGAUAAAUGAGCUGGCUACCAAACUAGUUUAUUGGGUUAUGGACAAUUUUGACAAUCGUGGUCUUAAGAUUGCAUUACCGAAUGAAAGACAUAUUCAAGUAUGCAAAGAGGAUGUGCAGCGUGUGCUUGGAUUCUCAAGAGGUCCAAAGGUAAUAGAAACUAUCGAUGUCAAGAAGAGGAAUAAUCUGAAAGCCGAAUGGGUUCCAUACUAUCCAAAUUAGAAUAAGGGACAGAUCACAGUUGGGGAAGUGGUAGAGGUUGUAAAAUCGCGUGUGGAUGGCAGAGAUUGGUUCAAGCGACAUUUGUUGAUAUUAGUUGCAUACACGUCGAUUGAGUACAGAGCACAUGGUUAUGGUUGUUCCUUUUAUAAUCAAGUCCCUAGAUGAUCUUACAAGUGUGCGGUAGUGGAAUUGGUGUGACUAUGUCAUCCGAUGUCUUGUUGAUAGACGUGGAAAGUGGGAGGACAACAAUAAACAAAUGUUUAUUGGCCUCGUCUUAUUUUCAAUGGUUAGUAUAUUUUAAUUACUUAACCUUUUUUUAACAAACACAUGCACUAUGAACUAGAAAAAUUUAUAUUAUAUAUGUCUUUUGUAGGAAACAUACAUGGACAGGACUUCUGUAUGCAAAUAUAUACUAUUAUUAUUUAAUAAUAGUAUUGUUUCUCAUGCUAAUCUCUCUUUUGAGAUCUGAAACAAAGAUUGAAGAUAUUGAAUGAAUAAACAUUGUUGUCUUGGAUGCUGAAAUCCA
rnacentral:lncRNA from 1 species